rnacentral:rRNA from 1 species
ACUCCUACGGGAGGCAGCAGUAGGGAGUAUUGCACAAUGGGCGAAAGCCUGAUGCAGCAACGCCGCGUGCGCGAAGAAGGCCUUCGGGUUGUAAAGCGCUUUUCUGGAGGAAGAGGAAGGACGGUACUCCAGGAAUAAGGAUCGGCUAACUACGUGCCAGCAGCCGCGGUAACACGUAGGAUCCGAGCGUUAUCCGAAUUUACUGGGCGUAAAGCGCGUGUAGGCGGUCAGGUAAGUUGGACGUGAAAUCUCCUGGCUCAACUAGGAGAGGUCGUUCAAAACUGCCGGACUAGAGGGCGACAGAGGGAGGUGGAAUUCCCGGUGUAGUGGUGAAAUGCGUAGAUAUCGGGAGGAACACCAGUGGCGAAGGCGGCCUCCUGGGUCGCACCUGACGCUCAGACGCGAAAGCUAGGGGAGCAAACGGGAUUAGAUACCCCGGUAGUCCUAGCUGUAAACGAUGUGGACUUGGCGUUGGUGGGGUUAAAUCCAUCAGUGCCGAAGCUAACGCGAUAAGUCCACCGCCUGGGGACUACGGUCGCAAGAUUAAAACUCAAAGGAAUUGGCGGGGGCCCGCACAAGCAGCGGAGCGUGUGGUUUAAUUCGAUGCUACACGAAGAACCUUACCCGGGUUUGACAUCCAGGUUGUAGGGAGCCGAAAGGUAACCGACCCUUCGGGGAGCCUGGACAGGUGCUGCAUGGCUGUCGUCAGCUCGUGUCGUGAGAUGUCCGGUUAAGUCCGGUAACGAGCGCAACCCUUGCUGUAUGUUAUACGUGUCAUACGGGACUGCCGGUUUAGUGCCGGAGGAAGGCGGGGAUGACGUCAAGUCAGCAUGGNCCUUUAUAUCCGGGGCUACACACACGCUACAAUGGUCAGUACAACAGGUCGCAAAACCGCGAGNNGNNCCNAUCCCCAAAACUGACCUCAGUUCANAUUGCAGGCCGCAACUC